GUACAAAAUUGAAGAAGAGCAGAAUCUCACACUAGACGAUGAAUUUGAAACUGUUUGCUUGCCUUAUUCAAUGAAUUCGAAAUUGUUUGUUUGCCUUAUUCAAUGAAAUGGAAAUGGAUGAAUUGAACCCUUCUACCAUCGGUACUUCCGUCGUCAUCACCUUUUUCCUACCUUAUACGUCGUCGUUUUCACCCCCUUUCUUCCUCCUACGACCAUGAUUAUACCCUUUAAACCUCUCUUUGGAUCUCAACCGCAGAUCAUCUCCUUCUUCUUCAAUCCUUAUGGACCCUUCUACCUCUCGCCCUGCUGUAGUCAUUGACAAUGGAACCGGGUAUACAAAAAUUGGUUUUGCUGGAAAUGUGGAGCCAUGUUUCAUACUACCUACAGUUGUUGCAGCUAACGAAUCAUUUGUUAAUCAGCCUCGAGCUUUGACUAAGAACAGCAACUGGUUCGCCCAGCACAGUGCAGGGGUUAUGGCGGAUCUUGAUUUCUUUAUUGGGGAUGAGGCUUUGACCAGAUCUAAAUCUAGUAGCAAUUACAAUCUUACCUAUCCUAUUGAACAUGGACAAGUUGAUAACUGGGAUUCAAUGGAGCGGUUCUGGCAGCAGUGUAUAUUCAAUUACCUGCGUUGUGACCCUGAGGAUCACUAUUUUCUAUUGACUGAAAGCCCUAUGACUGCACCAGAGAACCGAGAAUAUACUGGUGAAAUUAUGUUUGAGACUUUCAAUGUUCCGGGACUUUAUAUAGCUGUGCAGCCGGUUCUUGCUUUGGCAGCUGGGUACACAGCAUCCAAGUGUGAGAUGACUGGAGUCGUAGUGGAUAUUGGAGAUGGUGCUACCCAUGUUGUACCUGUUGCUGAGGGUUAUGUUAUUGGGAGCAGCAUUAAGUCAAUUCCCGUUUCUGGGAAAGAUGUUACUCUCUUUGUUCAACAGCUUAUGAAGGAAAGGGGAGAACAUGUUCCAGCAGAAGAUUCCUUUGAAAUAGCACGAAAAGUGAAGGAAAUGCAUUGCUACACUUGUUCUGACAUUGUGAAGGAGUUCAAUAAGCAUGAUAAAGAGCCAGGGAAGUACAUCAAGCACUGGAGAGGUACAAAACCAAAGACAGGAGCACCUUAUUCAUGUGAUGUUGGCUAUGAGCGAUUUCUUGGUCCUGAGGUCUUCUUCAGUCCUGAGAUUUAUAAUAGUGAUUUUACGAACCCUUUACCUGAGGUGAUUGACAAAUGUAUUCAGUCUGCACCAAUAGACACAAGAAGAGCUUUAUAUAAGUUCAGAAUAUUGUUUUAUCUGGAGGGUCAACCAUGUUCAAAGAUUUCCAUAGAAGAUUGCAGCGAGAUCUCAAAAAGAUAGUGGAUGACCGCAUUCUUGCAUCAGAUGCUCGGUUAGGUGGAAAUGUCAAAGCACAACCAGUUGAAGUGAAUGUGGUCAGCAAUCCUAUCCAGAGAUAUGCAGUUUGGUUUGGAGGUUCUGUACUGGCUUCAACUCCUGAAUUUUUUGCGGCUUGCCAUACAAAGGCAGAAUACGAGGAAUAUGGAGCUAGCAUAUGCCGGACAAAUCCCGUAUUCAAGGGAAUGUAUUGAUAUUGAACCGAUUCAAACUGAUGAUUGCAAAGGCAUUUAUUGUCAAGAUGUGCUCAUCCUAACAACCCAAUCCAUCCGUCCUUGGUGUCAGCUUCAAGCUGAAAUCCUACAUCCGCAGGUGCCUUCAGUUAUGUCAACCGAUCGGAGGCAGUGUAGGAUGAACCUGUAACGAAUGGGGUUCUUGUACUUUUCUCCAUUAGCAGCGCAUGAAUUUUGGCCUUGCGGGAAAAGUAGGCUUUCAUCGUCAGGACUGGUUGGCACUUCCAUUUUUCAGAUGGCUGAUCAGUUAAAUGACAUUUACUGAGCUGAAUGUUAUUUUCUGUGUGUUCAGUUCAGUCUAGGGAUUUAUCAGUUUAUUUUAGUAAGAGGGCAGGAUAAUAAGCUUCAAACAAAUUCAGGUAGGUUUUCUUUUAAUUGUUAUUGAAUGACCGAUGAGAUGACUAUUAGUGCUCUAUGUCAAAGAUUCAUGUAGAAACUUGUUUUCUCUGUAGACACAUUCUGAACAUUGAAGCUAUACCUGUAUAUUUGGUUCACCACUGAACCUUCAUUCUUUUUCUAGGAAUAGUAUUGUCAUUUGUCUCCAAGUUAUUUCGUCUGGUGCAAUUUAAUCUGCAUUUGCGCUUU